UCGUUAAUUACUCCCAGCUGUGUCCCCCACCUGUGUGUAAUCUCCCUGUGUUUCUCUGAGUGUAUUUAAGUCGUGUCUUCUGUCCUUGUAGUCGCUGGUCCGUCUGUGUAUCUACCAUGUUCCAUUCGUGUGUUCUCCCUGCUGUCACCAUCAUAUACCAUCGUCUAUCUUCCUUCAUGUUCAGGAAGUAAGGAGCAGACGGCUGAGCUCAUCAAACUCCGGGGUGAAAACGAACACCUGUUUACCGGUGCCAAGAACUCAGCCGCUGUGGGUUGGAGGUACAGCCUGGCAGGCAAAAUCACCCCGUUGCAGGCGGGGGAAAAAAAAGGGACAACCUAAAGAAAAAAUUAAAAAAUCACAAGUAUCCCGCAUCAGGUGAGGGGGUGAGUGGGAAGACCACUGCUGCUACAUGGCCCUGGUUUGUCCCCAUGGAUGAGGUGUUAGGACAGAGGCCGUCUACCAGGCCUCUGGCUGAGCAGCAAGUCUCGGGCAGUACUGCUCAAUCUGCUGGACCAGGACCUAAGACAGGAAUGAGAUGCCACAAGUCAGACCCUUGGUUUGCAUUUCCAGCUACUAAGUGGAGCAUCAUACAGCUUGGUGGCCAGUAGUUGUUCAGGGAUGCUUGCUUCCACUGUCCACCGCAUCAUCUUAUCACUUGGGUUUGCAGGGCUGAUGUAACUGAUGGCUGCCACGUCACUGAAAUGUAUGCAGAAAGAUACAAGGACAAAGAGGUGCACACAAUCCUGUUAAUACAGAUAUUGCAAGUAAUAUUCUAGCACUCUAACAAUGCACUACUAAAAGAAUACCUGCCUGUUAACAAUAAUCGGAUCUCCUCCAGGGCAGACACCUCAGAGCGCACCACUGCCUGCCUCCAAACCAGUCUCCCCCUCAACUUGCACAUCAUCCUCGGGCUCAUCCUCUAUGGAAGAAAUAUAGUAUCAUCAGAAUCCAACUAUUUUUAGACAUUGAAUUUAUAACACUGAAUUUUUAUCCUCCAAAUUUCCCUGCAAAAAUAUUCACCUGCAAAAAUUCACCUGCAAAAAAUUCAACUGCAAAAAUUCACCUGCAAA